UUUUUUUGGGUUUUUUUUUUCCUUUUCCUUUUUCAGUCUUAAGAGACUAGUAGGAUCUAUGCUCACCAUAUUCAUAGGACUUGGCUUCAUUCGAUAAAUUCUUAGUCAGGGACCAGGAGCUUAGGGCUGCAAUCUGGGAAGCUCCCCUCCAACCAACUGGCACAGCAUUCCAGGCCACAUACCCAAGGGAUGCCUUCCCAUAUGACUCAAAGCAGACACUUCUCCCGGUAUCUGCCUUUUCAGCAACUUCACACACUUUUAUGUCUCAGUCCUUGAAAGAAAAUGGGAAAGUAGUGGUGUAAUUGCUCAGGUUUGCAGGUUACUCCAUGUUCCUGGGGAAAAAAAAACAUGGAGGUACAAAAGCACACAAUGGGAGUUCCACUCUCAACAUUCAGGACUGCACAAAAACUAACAGGAGGGAAUCACUUAUAUUCCACCACACUUAUAUUUAUUUUUGUGACAUUUAAGGUACAUGCCUUACACCAAUUCAACUCUUGCCAGUCUUCUUUUGAGUGAGAGCUCCUCCUAGGCACAAUCUCUGUGAAGACCAGGACCAUUUCAAUUCCUUUCCACCUCCCACUGGACCAGCUUUGUGGCACCAGCUACUCACGCAGAUUCAAAUUUAAAUAGGAAACACACUGCAAGCCAAGGAGAAUAAUUUCCUGGUGUGGGAUUCACCCCUUCCAUCUUAAGGUAUCUGCAACAUAAAUGUCUCUGAGCUUGUCACCUUUGGCUUCCUCUAUAGUCAGUGGAGAGAAAUAAGCUUUUUAGGAUGCAAUUCAUCUGACCUAUUUUAAAUGUCUACACAAGAGGGAAAGGAAUCAUGCCUCAGAAGUACUUGCCUCUUUCCACUAGCCAGAAGGCCAGUUUAAAUGAUCAGCUUGCAUACAGACAUCUCUGUUCAGCCAGAUAAAGUAAACCUACCUCACCCUUCUUAAAAACCAAAAACACACCCAAAAGAACCGACAAAAUCAAAUCAAAACACCACAAAAGCCACACAUAAAUGCCACAGCAAAAGUGGGGUGCAGAAUAAAAGAAUAAAA
rnacentral:lncRNA from 1 species